rnacentral:hammerhead_ribozyme from 1 species
GCACUGCUGACGAGUCCCAUUUUAGGAUGAAACGGUCGUCCAGUGC